rnacentral:misc_RNA from 1 species
GUAGGUGAACCUGCGGAAGGAUCAUUAUCGUAGGGCUUCGGCCCUGUCGAGAUAGAACCCUUGCCUUUUUGAGUACCUCUUGUUUCCUCGGCGGGCUCGCCCGCCGAUGGACCCCCCAAAAAACACUUUGCAGUACCUGUAAUAGUCUGAACAACAAACAAAAAUUAAAACUUUCAACAACGGAUCUCUUGGUUCUG